rnacentral:rRNA from 1 species
CCUCCUACGGGGCGCAGCAGUGAGGAAUAUUGGUCAAUGGCCGAGAGGCUGAACCAGCCAAGUAGCGUGCAGGAUGACGGCCCUCGUGGUUGUAAACUGCUUUUAGUCGGGAAUAAAAGGGGGUUCGUGAAUCCCGUAUUGUAUGUACCGUCAGAAAAAGGACCGGCUAAUUUCGUGCCAGCAGCCGCGGUAAUACGGAAGGUCCGGGCGUUAUCCGGAUUUAUUGGGUUUAAAGGGAGCGUAGGCGGGCCGUUAAGCCAGUUGUGAAAGUUCGGGGCUCAACCGCGGAACUGCAGU